rnacentral:rRNA from 1 species
UACGUAGGGUGCAAGCGUUAAUCGGAAUUACUGGGCGUAAAGCGUGCGCAGGCGGUUUUGUAAGUCUGUUGUGAAAUCCCCGGGCUCAACCUGGGAAUGGCAAUGGAGACUGCAAGGCUAGAGUUUGGCAGAGGGGGGGUAGAAUUCCACGUGUAGCAGUGAAAUGCGUAGAUAUGUGGAGGAACACCGAUGGCGAAGGCAGCCCCCUGGGUCAAGAUUGACGCUCAUGCACGAAAGCGUGGGGAGCAAACAGG